CCCCCCCUCUUCUCUCCCAACUUUCUUCAUCCACCACCAUUGUUGAGCAAGUAAAAGCUUCACAAGCCACUUCUACACCAUAAUCACCUAUUAGAUCAAGCUAAAAACAUCCAUAAAUCCUUAAAACAAAAGCUUGGUUGAGGGUUUGAGCUUGGAGUCAAGAAGGUGGAGCUAUACUUUUCUCCACAAAAAUCAUAAGAAUACGAGUCGAGGGCAUAAGUGAGAUCACUCCAAAGCACGAGAGCUAAAGCUAGGAUUGCCAGGUUUAUUGAGUUCGAAUUUGGAAAACUGUGCUGAAAUACAAGUUGUAGAUCGUCUCGAUAGGAGUUCGCGAGCUCAAACGGAUCGCAAAUCCGAGUUCGGACGAGAAAGUUAUGGCCGAAACGAAAACAUCGCGCGUAGCAGUCAGAACCCGGCGGUCAAACACCGUUGACCACCGCCCGAAGAAGGAUUUCCGGCGACCUGACCGGAGACCGCCGCCUGGGUCAACGGAUCUUCUGGAACGUUGGAAAAGACGCGGCGAUCGUCGCCAGAUGAAGGAGUUUUGUGCUUGAGACAAUGACCGCCGGAUGGGUCGCCGGGCAGGUCGCCGGCUACCCGGAUUUUUCAGUUUUGCGCGUUUUUGAGUUCUUCUGGGUCUCAAACUCUGUAUUUUACCCUGGUACUAUAAAUAGGUCUUCUUUUGACCUAUCUAGGGUUCCCAGCUUUAGUUUUUCAGU